rnacentral:rRNA from 1 species
UACAGAGGGUGCGAGCGUUGUUCGGACUUAUUGGGCGUAAAGCGCUUGUAGGCGGCACGUCAAGUCGCGUGUGAAAUCCCCAGGCUUAACCUGGGAAGUGCGCGCGAAACUGACGAGCUUGAGUGCCGGAGAGGGUCGCGGAAUUCCCGGUGUAGAGGUGAAAUUCGUAGAUAUCGGGAGGAACACCAGUGGCGAAGGCGGCGACCUGGACGGACACUGACGCUGAGACGCGAAAGCGUGGGGAGCAAACAGG